rfam:Oryza sativa (indica cultivar-group) chromosome 6, whole genome shotgun sequence.
AAUAAGUGCAGUUUUGCACUAUUUAUGUUUAACGUUUGACCGUUCGUUUUAUUUGAAAUUUUUUUAUGAUUAGUAUUUUUAUUGUUAUUAGAUGAUAAAACAUGAAUAAUACUUUAUAUGUGACUAAAUAUUUUUAAAUUUUUCAUAAAUUUUUUAAAUAAGACGAAUGGUCAACGUUGGGUACGGAUAUCCCGGCUGUACUGUUU